UUCAAGGAUUUGGAACAACAUGAGGUGUCUAUGUGUUUAGAUUUGGAACCUCAGUGUUUUGUGACUCUUGAAAACCAGGUCAGCUCAUGCCUCCCGUGAACAACUUAUUAGGUGCUUUAAAGGUUUGUCUGCAAAGUCGAAGCAGACAUGGACAGAUGAAGAUAUUGCCCGCAGAAACACUCCUCCU